rnacentral:sRNA from 1 species
GAUGAUGAUGACAAGAUCAUUGGGGGCUACAUCUGUCAGAGGAAUUCUGUCCCCUAUCAGGUGUCCCUGAAUGCUGGCUAUCACUUCUGUGGCAGCUCCCUCAUCAAUAACAAAUGGGUGGUGUCCGCGGCUCACUGCUACAAGUCCCGAAUCCAAGUGCGUCUUGGAGAAUACAACAUUAAGGUCUAUGAAGGCAAUGAACAAUUCAUAAAUGCAGCCAAGAUUAUUUGCCACCCGAAGUAUAACUCAGCCACCAUUGAUAAUGACAUCAUGCUGAUUAAGCUGAGCUCAGCCACCACCAUCAACUCUCAAGUGGCCACCAUCUCUCUGCCAAGAUCCUGUGCAGCGGCUGGUACUCAGUGCCUCAUCUCUGGCUGGGGCAACACCCUGAGCAGUGGCCAACUACCCUGAUCUCCUGCAGUGUCUGAAGGCUCCCAUUCUAACACUGCUUGCCGCACAGCCUACCCAGGCAAGAUUACUACAAACAUGAUAUGUCUGGGAUUCCUGGAGGGUGGAAAGGACUCUUGCCAGGGUGACUCUGGUUGCCCUGUGGUCUGCAACGGAGAACUCCAGGGCAUUGUCUCCUGGGGCUAUGAUUGUACUCAGAAGAACAAACCUGGAGUCUACACUAAAGUUUGCAACUAUGUGAAAUGGAUUCAGCAGACCAUUGCUGCCAAC